UACGGAGGGUGCGAGCGUUGUCCGGAAUCACUGGGCGUAAAGGGCGCGUAGGUGGCCUGUGGAAGUCUGCGGUGAAAGUCCGGCGCUCAACGCCGGAUCGGCCGUGGAUACUCUCGGGCUUGAGCUUACUAGAGGCAGAUGGAAUUCCGGGUGUAGCGGUGGAAUGCGUAGAGAUCCGGAAGAACACCGGUGGCGAAGGCGGUCUGCUGGGGUAAUGCUGACACUGAUGCGCGACAGCGUGGGGAGCAAACAGG
rnacentral:rRNA from 1 species